GAUGAAGAACGUAGCGAAAUGCGAUACGUAAUGUGAAUUGCAGAAUUCAGUGAAUCAUCGAAUCUUUGAACGCACAUUGCGCCCGCCAGCACUCUGGCGGGCAUGCCUGUUCGAGCGUCAUUUCAACCAUCAAGCCCCAGGCUUGCGUUGGAGCCCUGCGGCUACCGCAGCCUCCUAAAAGCAGUGGCGGGCUCGCUAUCACACCGAGUGCAGUAGAUUACUCUUCGCUCAGGGCGUGCAGCGGGUUCCGGCCGUGAAACCCCCUACUUUUAAAGGUUGACCUCGGAUCAGGUAGGAAUACCCGCUGAACUUAAGCAUAUCAAUAAGCGGAGGA
rnacentral:misc_RNA from 1 species